AUUGAACGCUGGCGGCAGGCUUAACACAUGCAAGUCGAGCGGGGUGAUGGUGCUUGCACUAUCACUUAGCGGCGGACGGGUGAGUAAUGCUUAGGAAUCUGCUUAUUAGUGGGGGACAACAUCUCGAAAGGGAUGCUAAUACCGCAUACGUCCUACGGGAGAAAGCAGGGGAUCACUUGUGACCUUGCGCUAAUAGAUGACCCUAAGUCGGAUUAGCUAGUUGGUGGGGUAAAGGCCUACCAAGGCGACGAUCUGUAGCGGGUCUGAGAUGAUGAUCCGCCACGCUGGGACUGAGACACGGCCCAGACUCCUACGGGAGGCAGCAGUGGGGAAUAUUGGACAAUGGGGGGAACCCUGAUCCAGCCAUGCCGCGUGUGUGAAGAAGGCCUUAUGGUUGUAAAGCACUUUAAGCGAGGAGGAGGCUCUUUUGGUUAAUACCCAAGAUGAGUGGACGUUACUCGCAGAAUAAGCACCGGCUAACUCUGUGCCAGCCGCCGCCGUAA
rnacentral:rRNA from 1 species